CCCGCCUACGCUUCCCGGCACCCUAAAGCGAGGGCCCGGCGCCUCCUAAUCCAUGAGAAGUUCCCUCGAGACCCCGCGAAGCACCUCCCUUCCCCUCCACGCGCAAGUACACCAGCCCGUGUGGGACCCCGAGUGACGUGCUACGUGGUCAUGCACCAUCAUUUCCCUUCCACCUUCCUCCUCGCCGCUUCCUCUCCCUCCACCGCCCAGCUCCAGUUGCUUUGCCUUUUUCCAAGUUCAGGCGGUGGGUGAAACCUGUUGCUGUAGCUCCUGUUUCCUUCCCUCUCCGAGCUCCACGCGGAGGAUGACCUCGGAGAAGUGUUUGUUGGGGAAUGGAGGGGUACAUGGGACUGAUAACGUGGCAUGGUGGUGGAGAAUCUGUUACAAAGGUUUGGUGGGCCUCCAAGGUCCAGGGGGCCCACCCUCAGUCAAGGAGACAUUAAAGGAUGGGCAGAGGUGGGUGACAGGCGAUAUGCUGCUGUCUGAUGCGGGAGGUUUGCUUCCUUAAAAUGUUCAGGAAACAGUCCAAAAGGCUGUGUAGGGUUUUUAGAAAAACACGGACUUCGCGAAUUUGGCAGCUCAUCCCGUUAGAAACUGCGUUUCAGUAAUUGAAAGACAGCAACCCUUGGGAAACAUGGAUGGGUCACACAGCACUUUUUAAGGAUUAAGAAUUAACUGUGAAGGAAACAUGCAGACCUGUAAGAACUGGAAGCCAGGAAAACCCUCUUCUGUGGCGUUUAUGAAAAACAGCACUUAUAACUUAAAUGUUCUCUCUCAUACACACAAAUAAAUAUAUGAGGUGAUGGAUGUGCUGAUUAGAUGGAGGAAAUCCUUUCACAAUAUGUAUCAAAUCACCACAAUUCAUGUCAAUUAUAUUAAAGCUGAAACAAUUUUUAAAGGAAAAAAAAAACCCAUUUUACAACGGAUUGGGGAAAACUAGUUUCCCUGAGGUUCCAGAUUUGGGCUUGUUACUAAUUAUUGCCUGUGAUUUCUAGCCUGGACUCUGGCCACUACCCUGGCUUUGGUACCCUCCAGAUGGAGGGGCUGGGGAAUGCUUGGAAUUCUUCGGUAGGGAGUGGCUGCCACCCUGACAUUUCUUCUAGGUCCUGACUGGGGCUUGGUGCACAGACCCUUUGUUUAAGGGAUUUCGGUGAAAUGUGACGCCUCUUCCAGCUCUCAGGUCACACAAACACAAGACUGCAAGGCGGACUGGGCCCACAGGCCACAGCUGGCUGACCUCUGCACUAAAGGCACUAUUUACAAUAGCCAAGAAUUGGAAGCAACCUAAAUGUCCAUCGAUAGAUGGAUGGAUAAAGAAGAUGUGGUACAUAUACACAAUGGAAUACUACUCAGCCGUAAGAAAAGGGCAAAUCCUACCAUUUGCAGCAAUAUGGAUGGAGCUGGAGAGUAUUAUGCUCAGUGAAACAAGCCAAGCAGAGAAAGAGAAAUACCAAAUGAUUUCACUCAUCUG